GGUGGAUGUGUCUGGCAUUCAAGGGCCAUGGCGAGCAGCAAGCAGACGACAGCUUGGUACAACCGUGUCAGUACAGUCAUCCUGGUGAUGUUUGAAUUCAUGUGUGUCGAGAAUGAAAGCGGGGAUUGUCGACACAUAUUGUAAAUGCAGUUGUUAAGGUUUGUACACCUCCGUGCUGCUGUGCUCUGUCACCUAUAAACAACCAUUGGACCAACCAACGGGACACAAGACCCACCACUGACCGUGUUCUGGGAUGACAUGGGCAACCACACAAUAGAAUGUGCCAGUGCCAUGUACAAGACUUCAGAUAGUACCAGACAAUCGGCAACUAGAGGGCAGCAGUUGUACCCACCCACAACAGACCAGAUUGUUUCAGUUCUUUCGACUGCUUCGAUAUUUUUUAUGUGUUUACGCCGAUGAAGGUCCACAUUGACACUACAUUAUGAGUCAGACACAUGUUCUCAAGAUCGCUCUGACUGCUUUUUUCAAAUAACUAGGUAAAGCUUAGUACAACAUACUUAAUCCUAAAAUCGUACUACAUUCCUUUCAUUUUAUAUAUAUACCGAUAUAUUUAUUUUUAUAUAUGAAUACCCAUGGAAAAAGAGC